ensembl:lncRNA
GAUCAGAAAGUAACUCUGCUAUUAAAACUCUUCACAAUUGAUGCAAAAAAUAACUACCAGGAAAUACAUCCAGUUUGAUAACAGGUGUUUAUGAGGGAGCACCAGCACAGAGGACUCUUUGCAUAAAACAAAUUUAUUAUUGGUUAAACAUGUAUCCAUGAAUUCUUCUUCUGUAAUUGCAUUUAUACAUUGCUGGAUGUCUGUGGACUGUGCCAUCCUUGGAUUUUUCAGACUAGAAAGGAGGCAUCAGUAUUGACAGUCAAUUACUGUGAAUUACUGUGUAGGUCACAUAGCCCAGCAAAAAUAUAUUAAGUAACAGUUGACAUGACUUAAUAUGUGCUUUUUUUUUGAGUGGAUCAGAACCUUGAAAAUGGGUAUUAGAGUCCAGAGAUUGACAAUUCACAUAAAUUUAAACCUGAGGGGUGCAUUCAGCCCUAUUCUGAGGUGUUUUAGCUGAGGAUGAUUCUGUCGGUGCAGAGAUCUGGGAGGCUCUGCCCAGCUUUCAUCUUCCCUGUGCUAACUCAGCUACUGCAGUGCCCAGGAAACACCCAAGGGACAGUCACAGGGCUCUGCUUGUCAUUUUUGUUGCCAUUUAGAAGCUGCUUCCCACUGUGGUGGAAGAAGAUCCCAGGAAAUCGUCUCUCCUUUCCUUCUUUGUCGGGAAAGGUAUUCCCCCAAAGCUGCAGGUGGAACAAGCUGCAGCAUUGAAUGAGAGCUUCUGCAUUUGGGAAGAAUUAGAAAGGCUGGUAAUGCAGGGUCUCUAUUACAGAUACAACAGCUCACAGACAGGGAGGAGAUUUUUGCUGCCGGUGUAGAAUUUGGAGUGCUAGGCAUUUUAUAGCCUGGAAAAAUUGUAAUUUUCAGCUGUUGUUAUGGAGUAAUCAAUGAAGAAGAGAUGCCACAGUUUCUGCGGGGUUUUUCUCAAAGCCUGAUGUCAUUGCAUGCAGGAACUAUUAUUUUUCUUAAUGUGCCACUUUGAGGCUGAAGCACACGCAGUUUUUAUUAAAACUUUUUUUUUUUUAUGAUGACUGAUGCUCACUGGUAGUUUUAGACCUUCUGAAAUAUCUUUGCUUCUGUAGUGAUAGCUCUGUAUCAGAUAAAAAUGUUCAGAAGAAAUUGUUCCUUGCUAGACCAUCGAAAUACUAUUAUUUUUUAAUUAUUUUAUCUAAUCAGUGCUUAGCUUGGGAGUACAUGUUGAUAAUUUUUUGUCCUUGUCAAAUAGUCUGUGACUUCACUCAAGGAUGAGAGUGGCCAUUCUGGUAAAUGUAAUAAAGGACAGUGUCCCCAAAGAGACCACAGUUUGCAGAGCAGAGCAUCAGGAAAAGCUGCUGCAGCAAAUGUCCCACAGCUGAAAUGUUCCACUCUAAUGUCACAACAUGUCCCCUGAGCAGCCCAGUGGCAGCAAAUGCAGCCCUGGAAAGAGUAACUCAGCCAAACUGACCCACUCAGUCCAGUGUGAAAUGGGAAAGUCUGACUUCUCAUUAAUGUGAUGUGUUACAAUUAAACCACAAAAUGAGGAGAACUGGGUAAGACUGGCUUAGUCAGGAGAAUAAAGAUGACAUGCAUUUCAGUUUGAGAAGUGCAGGUUCAUUGCAGCUUCCAGAGAAAGUCAGUUGAGUGGAGACAGUUUUGUGGGCUCUCCUUAAUUUUAGUUGCAGGAGACAUUCUCUUUCCCACAGAAAGUCACUGCCUUUGGAACCUGCUCCCUCUGGUAGAGCACCAAAGCUGAAUUUGACAAGGUGCAGCAGCCAGUGCACAACUCAUCUCUUCAAUUCAGCCUUUCCAAGUGCAAGGACAGAUCAGCACCUGUGUGGCUGGAGAUGGAAAACCCUGCCUUGUGACAUUUAUAUGCCAAGAUGGGAGGACCUAAAAAGAGGACUAGGGAGACUAGCAUGGCAUUUGCGGGUACCAGGUUGCCAAGGAGGCAUAUUGUAUUGAAACAGUUGCCUGGGAAACAUUUAAAAAUACAUUGAAUGGAAAAGCAUAUGUGAUGUGCCCACAAGUGUUCUGUGUGAAUGAAAUGCCAUGGCUGAUGAUGGCACCAAGAGACUGUUACUAUUACAUGUAAAAAUGCUGCAAGUGAUGUGUGGUUUUUUCCCUUUUGUGGUGUUUUCUUCCCCUGUUUGCAGGAGGUGCACCGAGGGAAGGUUGUUUUGCUCUUGGCUGAUGGAUUAAAGUGAAUGUGGGGAAGGUGGAACACACAGGCAGCAGCAGCAGCUGGGGAUGGCAGCAGCAAUUUGGCUUCAUUUAGGCAACCUAAACCAAUUGACAAGGAGCCUGCACAGUUCCCCCUCAAAAGUAAUAACAGCACUGCUGAAACUCCUACAGUAUAAAGAUAAAUGGUUCUCUGAGCACUGCCACUUUAAUUGGUGCUAAAAUGGGCAUUGGGAAGCUCUGAUGUCAUUGCAGUGGGACUUCCAUGUAAACGUCAUGGAAAAUGCAGGGGUUUUGAGCAAAGGUUGGACAACAUAUUAUGAAGAAGUCUCUCACUGACCUUAUUUUUUGUUUAGGGCACUGAAAUAGAGGGAGGUGAUGGGAGAAAGUUUCAGGAGACAGUUAACUGCUCUAGUCCUUCCUCAGAUCAAUUACUGAGAGAUGGUGCUGACAAAAAAGAAUGAUAUAACCAAAACCAAAACAAACAAUCAUAUCCACUCUUUGUCUCACAGAAAAAACCUUUAUUUUCCCAUGUGGCAAAGAAACAGGAGAGCUGGGAACUGUAAUCUUUGAUAUCCUAUCUUGGACAAAGAGGUUCAUCUGCUACCAACUCCCAGAUGCUAAAAUGCAUUUCUCCUUCACUAAGAGUGAGUGGUAGGUGUGAGGCUGGUUAGGUUUAUGGUCACCCUGCCUAAUCCUCCUUUGGAGAUUUAGAAACAAAUAUCCUACUCUUGAUUUGCUAGAGGCUUAAGAAGCCUGUUUGGGAGCCAGCAGAUUUAGCUUGGUCCAGGCUGUAUGUGGUACAGUAAAUUUUUUGGAUGAGAGAUGCAGUGGAGAGGAGUUCAGCUGAGUAAGAAGGAAAGUCUGGAGGCCUUUUUGUUGGUGGUAGCUCUGCAAAGAGUUGCCUUCCAGGGGAGGGCACCAGGGCCUUGGCUGCUGGAAGAUGUUGCCUGUUUGGGGCUGGGAGGUUGCUGCCUGUCUGGUGAGUUCAGUUCCCCAGGGAGGAGGAGACUCUGCUGACUUUGCUGUCGGUUUGGCCAGUGAGGAGAUGCUUUUUGGCAUUCUGGUUAUCUCCUCAUUUCAGCACAAAUCUGCUCAGGGCUCUGAGGUGCUGCAAUGAUCACGUUGGAAAACCAUGAAUCAGAUGAAGUCUUCUUGGUGUCAGUCAAGUCCCAGUAUCACUCAUCAUUUUUCUGGCCCAGUGUGUGUUUGGUUAAAUCAAGUCCUGCUGUUUUUAGGCCCUGGGGUUAGUGUAAGAGAGGAGGAGAAUCUGCCUUUCAUCCUCUCAGAAUUUUGCAAUGUGACUGAAAACUUGGAGAGAAUGUGUCAGAUCUCAAACAAAGAUUAGAUUUGAUGGCACAGAGCCGUGGGUUCUGUGGCCCAGCCCAGAAUUCUGCUGAGGGAGUUGUAUCAUCUCCCCAUACUUUAAAGGAUUUAGACUCUGAGUUUAGGAUGAAAUAUGGCUCGAGGUUUUCAUAUUUAUUUCUUGCUUGCUUUCUUGUUUUUUGGGUUGAGUUUUUUUUGGUUUUUACUUAAUUCUAAGUGUAUCUCAUGAAUUUUAGCCAAUAGUUAUCUGAAUUCUUCUUCUUUGCUGCGUAGCAUUCCUUCAUUUGAAAUCAACAUAUUAAGGAGCUCCACAAAAAAAAAAAAAAAUCCAUAAAUCACUUGUUUAUGGGCAGGAAACCACAAAACAGUGGGACAAAAUUACCCUACUAGUUAAUGUGGUGUGAUUUUAUCCAUAAUUACAAUGGUGUAGAAAAUCAACAUAAAAUAGAAUGUAAUUCAACAGAUGAGUAUGUAUUUAUUGCUUCAACCAACGUGGGUAAUAGGUUUAGUUAGUUUUGCAAUUUUUUUAAAGGCGUGACUAGUGUUUUAGAAAGAAAAUAAGGUAAGUCUGAAUAAUCAAAGCUAUGGAGGAAAAUAAAUAUCUUUGCACUGAGGAGGGUGUAUUUUCAUAUUCAUCCUCCCUUUGUCAUUAAUGCUUUGAUAAAAGAAAUAUAAAAUGGCAUUAAUUUAGAAUCCUGACAGCAAAAUACAGAAGAACUCUAGUUUAUUUUUUUUCCAGGUGUCAUUUAUUUAAUUGUAUCAGACGUGGGCUGAGUUUGGUUUAUUUACAUUGACUUAAUACCCGGUGAACUGAAACUCCCCUGAGGCGCUGUCAGUGUGAGACGUCGCUGUGCCUGACAGUCCCUUGUUGUGACCACACCCAGUCCGAGGUGCUGGGCAGGGCUGUGCCUGCCCCUGCUGUCACUGACCCCCAGCAGCUGUCACUCAAACCCACUCUGUCCACGACGCCUUCCUGCCACAUCCCAGAACUGCUGUUAACAAAGAGGAGCUUCAUGCUACUGUUCCUGUCAUGAGUGAGUUUAGAAUUGGGCUGAUUUUGGUGGAUUUUCCCCAACAGAAUCUCCCCUGCUCUCCAAAUCCAUUUUGCUGUUCCCUCUAUCCAAUUGUCCUGCUCUCAUAGAAAUUUUUGGUUGUUCCCUUUUGAUCAGUGGGAAGUCCUCUGAGGGAGAUGUGUGGUAGCUAAACCAAGAUGUUGUGGUGCUGGCUGAGGACAGAAAACAUGUUCAGUUAGCUGCAGUGCUUGCUCUGGUUUGUACCACAGUCUGGUUCCAUCAUUAGCCUGUUUUUAUGAGUCUGUCCUCCCAUACUGGAAUCAGAUGUUUUAUCAGAGCACUCUGAGGAAAAGCAGCAGCCUCACAGCUCUCCGUGACUGUGCUGUACCCUGCAGAAAAUGAGUUGUUUAACUUAAAGCCACAUCCCACCAGGCAAGAAGCAACAUCACAAAGAGCUGCAAAAAUAUUGGCACCAUCAAACCUCAGUAUCAAAGGAAGAGAUGAAUCCGGGUCCUUCCAAGAAGCUGUUUGGGCCUAAUUGGGCUGGCUGGGCAUGAGGAGAUGCAAUCUAUGACCAGUGCAGCUUUGUAGGCAGAAAUGUCAGAUAUAGAUGCAUUUAAGUGAGAGCUGCCUCCUAUUCCCUCUCCAGGCAAAUGAGAUUUGGAGGAGCCUGC